AAACGCUGACUCCUAACAUCUGCCAGUUUCCGUGGUGUAGAUACUCCCGCCAGGGCCCAUUUCAAGCUCUGAGAGUGAUGUAAGCAGAGGAGGGGUGCCUGCAGGCACCUAUCCAGAGCCAAUUCCAGCUCCAGCACCCCACUGGGCGGCCAGAGAGGUUCCCGCGUACCAGGCUCCCGCCUCCGCACCUCACGUGCAUGAGCUCAUGGAAUCCUCAUCACGGCUCUACCGCACAGCUGCUUCUCUUGCCUCUGUUCCGCAGAUGGGGAAACUGAGGCACAGACAGUCUGGCUCUGGCACCUGACCACACUAUACUGCCUCUCUUUCUUGUGCUUAAAAUCAAACCCAAACGCCUCACUGUGGCGACAAGAGCUAGGCUGCAUCCCUGCAUUCGUCUCCUUCCCCAUCGUGUGUCCCACACGCACUCCUACACGCCCUUCUGGUCACACCUGGCUCCUCCUAGCACUUGUUCCUCUGCACCAUGCUGCUGGCCUUUGCCCCUUGGUUCCCUCUGCCCGGAAGGCUCUUCUCCAGCUCUGAGGUGCCGGCUUAAAGGUCACCUCCCCGGAGAGCCUUCCCUGACCACCCAUUUGCCUCUCUUUCACCUCUAUCUCUUUCCUUCCUUCCCAGUGCGUCUCACAACCAGUAGUGUUCUAUUUAUUUGCCUAACUGUUGAGCAGCGGUUCUCAGUGGGGGACAGCGGGCCAAGGGGCGAGUUGAUAUUGCAGUUGGUAAAGUCUUGAGACAUACUCAGUUUGUUGUCACAACUCAGGCACUUCAGUGACAGAGACUGGAUUUCCACACCGCAGUCCAUCAAAACUAAUCAGUUGGCUGUGUUCCAUCGCUCAGCAACUGACAGCUUCACCAGGAUGUCUCCACUCAACCCUUCAAGUCUUUGAGGACCUUCUGUGACCUGUAUCCAGUGCUGGACAUUGAGGGUGCAGUAAAGAGCAAGAUACAUCCCUGCUCCGUAUUCACACAAUGUUGAAAAUCAGAAUUUCCUUUAAGAGUGA
rnacentral:lncRNA from 1 species